rnacentral:tRNA from 1 species
GCUGUGGUGAUUCAGUUCCUAUAGAACCCUUGCCUUCCAUGCAAGAGACCCGGGUUUGAUUCCUGGCCACUGCA